rnacentral:rRNA from 1 species
UGGGGGAUAUUGCACAAUGGGCGAAAGCCUGAUGCAGCGACGCCGCGUGGGGGAUGAAGGCUUUCGGGUUGUAAACCUCUUUCGCUAUCGAACAAGGCCCGCUUAGGGUGGGUUGAGGGUAGGUGGAGAAGAAGCGCCGGCUAACUACGUGCCAGCAGCCGCGGUAAUACGUAGGGCGCGAGCGUUGUCCGGAAUUAUUGGGCGUAAAGGGCUUGUAGGCGGCUUGUUGCGCCUGCUGUGAAAACGCGGGGCUUAACUUCGCGCGUGCAGUGGGUACGGGCAGGCUUGAGUGUGGUAGGGGUGACUGGAAUUCCAGGUGUAGCGGUGGAAUGCGCAGAUAUCUGGAGGGACACCGAGGGCGAAGGCAGGUCACUGGGCCAUUACUGACGCUGAGGAGCGAAAGCAUGGGUAGCGAACAGG